ensembl:snRNA U6 U6 spliceosomal RNA
GUGCUCACUUCAGCAGCAUAUAUACUAAAAUUGGAAUGAUACAGUGAAGAUUAGCAUGGCCCCGGUGCAAGGCUCACAUGCAAAUUUGUGAAGCAUUCCAUAUAUUU